rnacentral:rRNA from 1 species
UACGUAGGGUGCAAGCGUUGUCCGGAAUUAUUGGGCGUAAAGAGCUCGUAGGCGGUUUGUUGCGUCGGCUGUGAAAUCCCGAGGCUCAACCUCGGGUCUGCAGUCGAUACGAGCAAACUAGAGUGUUGCAGGGGAGACUGGAAUUCCUGGUGUAGCGGUGAAAUGCGCAGAUAUCAGGAGGAACACCCGUGGCGAAAGCGGCUCUCUGGGACGGUACUGACGCUGAGACGCGAAAGCGUGGGGAGCAAACAGG